CAAAGCUCACGUGUUGAAACAAUUUUCCCAAUUAAGGUUGACAAUGAGGCAAUUAAAGACCAGCAGCCUCUUCUCCGUUCUUCUUCAUCUCGUUGAAGCCAAGAAUAACCCUCUCAUCUUCUUUCCACUUUUGAUCAACCACAGCAGCCCCGAUUGUGCUCCUCCUUCCCUGUCAAAUGAAGCAACCAAAAAAACCCACUGAUUCCUUCUUCAUUUUUCUGUUAAAGAAACCAUUGGAGGUGGGUUCCUUAUGAUUUUUCCGGCGAUACCAAGAGAGCAACAACCCUCUUUCGAUGUUGCCUCUUCCCCUGUCAAACAAUAAACCCAAA
rnacentral:lncRNA from 1 species